UGGGGAAUUUUGGACAAUGGGGGCAACCCUGAUCCAGCAAUGCCGCGUGUGUGAAGAAGGCCUUCGGGUUGUAAAGCACUUUUGUCCGGAAAGAAAACGUCGUGGUUAAUACCCGUGGCGGCUGACGGUACCGGAAGAAUAAGCACCGGCUAACUACGUGCCAGCAGCCGCGGUAAUACGUAGGGUGCAAGCGUUAAUCGGAAUUACUGGGCGUAAAGCGUGCGCAGGCGGUCCGCUAAGACAGAUGUGAAAGUCCCCGGGCUUAACCUGGGAACUGCAUUUGUGACUGGCGGCUAGAGUAUGGCGGAGGGGGGUAGAAUUCCACGUGUAGCAGUGAAAUGCGUAGAGAUGUGGAGGAAUACCGAUGGCGAAGGCAGCCCCCUGGGCCAAUACUGACGCUC
rnacentral:rRNA from 1 species